rnacentral:rRNA from 1 species
AGCGAACGCUGGCGGCAAGCUUAACACAUGCAAGUCGAACGAUGUAGCAAUACAUAGUGGCGGACGGGUGCGUAACACGUGGGAAUCUGCCUUUAGGUGGGGGAUAACUCAGGGAAACUUGAGCUAAUACCGCAUGAUAUCUUCGGAUCAAAGAUUUAUCGCCUAAAGAUGAGCCCGCGGCAGAUUAGCUAGUUGGUGGGGUAAUGGCCUACCAAGGCAACGAUCUGUAGCUGGUCUGAGAGGAUGACCAGCCACACUGGGACUGAGACACGGCCCAGACUCCUACGGGAGGCAGCAGUGGGGAAUAUUGGGCAAUGGGCGCAAGCCUGACCCAGCUAUGCCGCGUGAAUGAUGAAGGCCUUAGGGUUGUAAAGUUCUUUUACCAGGGACGAUAAUGACGGUACCUGGAGAAAAAGCUCCGGCUAACUUCGUGCCAGCAGCCGCAGUAA